rnacentral:rRNA from 1 species
AUGCCGAGGUGGAGCGUACCGCCGCCGCGUUCGAGCAGCGGCUGGUGGUUAGCGGUGGCUGCAGUCCUCGCUGCGCUGGUGUGCCAGUUGCUUGUGAGGAGUGGGUUGUCGGCGACUCCACGAGUAAGCUCGUUUGGUCCGCUGAUCUGGAGGAGGUCCUUAUUUUCCUCUGCUUCCAAGGUUACCAUGGUGGUGAAGGAGGAAGACAGGAAAGAUGGAGAUCCAGUUCGGGUUCGAGCUCAUCACCGACGGAGACCUUGGAUGGCCUAUGGCUCCCACUGUUAUGGUCAAUGUCGGCCGUCGCCGUCGAAUCCUCUGACCGAAUGGCGGUCUUUCUUCUUCCUCCCGGCCAAAAGCCAGAUGGGAGGCACUACAGCUUCAUCCUGGAGUUCAUGGCGUGGUGCCAUGGAGGGCUGGCCGCAUCAAGUGGUGCUGUCCCCGGUGAAGACGAGUCAAGUUUCAGGCUAG